AUUAGAGUGCCUGAGCAAAGGGUUAUUCUGAUAUUAUAAUUCACGUAAAACCAUUUACCUCUAAUA
rnacentral:tRNA from 1 species